rnacentral:rRNA from 1 species
GUUGACCUCGGAUCAGGUAGGAUC